UUGCGAAUAUUCUCGCUGUCUUGAUUCUUGUCUCCAAUCAAGUCAGGCUAGACAUUCGCUAGAUUAAUGCUGUGCUUAUUGUCCACAAGCCUAGUUUGUUAAGUCCUGUGGUAAUAUUUGCCAGCGACAACU